AGCUUUGCUCAGUGGCAAUAUCGUAGCCAAUGAGGUUUAUCUGAGGCACGAUUAUUGCUAAUUGAAAACUCUACAGUAUCUUUAUUGCACAUACCUGUGAAAGGUCCCUGUCUUCAUCAUGUCUCAUGCUUGUUCUACAGUGGUGCCUACCUUAGUGACUUGUAACACACUACUCAGUAAGUAAGUACUUUUAGAAGGCCUGAAGGA
ensembl:snRNA U4 U4 spliceosomal RNA